rnacentral:rRNA from 1 species
AUUGAACGCUGGCGGCAGGCCUAACACAUGCAAGUCGGACGGUAGCACAGAGGAGCUUGCUCCUUGGGUGACGAGUGGCGGACGGGUGAGUAAUGUCUGGGGAUCUGCCCGAUAGAGGGGGAUAACCACUGGAAACGGUGGCUAAUACCGCAUAACGUCGCAAGACCAAAGAGGGGGACCUUCGGGCCUCUCACUAUCGGAUGAACCCAGAUGGGAUUAGCUAGUAGGCGGGGUAAUGGCCCACCUAGGCGACGAUCCCUAGCUGGUCUGAGAGGAUGACCAGCCACACUGGAACUGUGACACGGUCCAGACUCCUACGGGAGGCAGCAGUGGGGAAUAUUGCACAAUGGGCGCAAGCCUGAUGCAGCCAUGCCGCGUGUAUGAAGAAGGCCUUCGGGUUGUAAAGUACUUUCAGCGGGGAGGAAGGCGGUGAGGUUAAUAACCUUGCCGAUUGACGUUACCCGCAGAAGAAGCACCGGCUAACUCCGUGCCAGCAGCCGCGGUAA